AAUUUCAGAUAAAUAAUGAAUAAUUUAGUUUGGGACAUACUUAUACUAAAAACAUUAUUCAUUGUUUAUCUGAAUU
rnacentral:miRNA from 1 species